CGUAGGAUGAACGCUGGCGGCGUGCCUAACACAUGCAAGUCGAACGGAGCUGCGACGCUGAUGAUUGGAGUACUGUACGAAGAGAAUCUUGUCGUAGCUUAGUGGCGGACGGGUGAGUAACGUGUGGAUAACCUGGUCCAUCCAGGGGGAUAGCAGCUGGAAACGGCUGGUAAUACCGCAUAAGCGCACAGAGAGGCAUCUCUCGGUGUGAAAAAGAUUUUAUCGGGAUGGAAUGGAUCCGCAUCUGAUUAGCCAGUUGGCGGGGUAACGGCCCACCAAAGCGACGAUCAGUAGCCGGCCUGAGAGGGCGGACGGCCACAUUGGGACUGAGACACGGCCCAGACUCCUACGGGAGGCAGCAGUGGGGGAUAUUGCACAAUGGAGGGAACUCUGAAUGCAGCGACGCCGCGUGGGUGAAGAAGUAUUUCGGUAUGUAAAGCCCUAUCAGCAGGGAAGAUAAUGACGGUACCUGAGUAAGAAGCCCCGGCUAACUACGUGCCAGCCGCCGC
rnacentral:rRNA from 1 species